GCAUUGUUCAUCUUUCCUUAGCUUCGCAGGACCAAGCCAGACAAAGCCGAAAUCUCCCAUGAUACCUUUAAUUAAAUACGUUAUUCUAUUUCAUGCACUCGAGGAAAAUGGGUUCCGCUGGGAACCGGCUGGGACUUUUAAAGCCAACUUCAAGCAGGGGUUUGAAAUCUUAAAAGAGUGCCAAUUCUGAUCAUUUCUCACCGCCUCCCCCUCCCAAAUGCUAAACUGUAACCAACCCGAAGAUGAAUUUGGAUUCAGGCUGCGUGGAGAAACCUAAAAGAGUUCGAGGGAAGGAAAGUCACCUGUCCAGGUGAAAUCGUAGCUGUCUUUUUUAACCAAGCUUAACACCAGACAGUCCAAACUGGGUCAGCGUGAAAAAUCCACAGCGAUUGGAACGGGUUAGAAUUCUAACUGGCGUAUUUACGCAGCACAUUUGAAAUCCGACACAGGGGGGCACAUUCAGUGAAGGAUUGCGAUGCGUCCCGCAUGCCAGCUUGCGAUCCUCCACCUUGAGUGACAGGAGCCAGCAGAGGAAAAGGACACACGGACACAGACACACACACACGCCAAAGGCCUUCCCGGCAAGGGUGGCGUGCUGUGACCCCCAAAAUUGUCCAGCUCUUUCCCUUCGGAAAGGCCGGCGCCCAACGGGUGCGUUUCAUCUCCAGCGCUGCAGCUUCUGUCGCGAAGCGCUUGGCAACAAAAAGGAUCGCCGGUGGAUCCCAAACAUAGCAACGGCGGGGAGGAGGGAUCGAAAGGUCGGAGAAGAGAGCCGGGCGACUGGCGUGAAGGUCACAAAAGCGAAACAACGAAGGAGGGAAGGAGAAAACAGGAGGCUUGUCGGUCCAGGCUUUCGCCUCCUUCCAAGGCACGCGUGGGGAAGGAACGCGCCGAGCGCGCUCUGCACAGGCUCAGAGGACCGGCGGAGCUUUCCUCCAGCUGCAACGGCCCGGGGGAGAGCGGCGGAGGAGAGUCGCCCUAUUCCUGACCUCAUCGCCAAGAGAGGGACGUGUCCGGCUCUGGUGGGCCGGCGCCCGCGCCUCCCUCCGGGACGGGCUUCCCCCGUUGCCUGGCUGCGACGCAGGUUGUAAGCCCCUAACCUGAUGAUAGAAACUCUUGAAAAGAUGGCAACCCCUAGAAUUGUAUUUGCUAAAAACUGGAAGAAUGAUAAAAUACCUAUGCAGGAGGAAGUGAUUAAGAAAAUUGUGGACUGUGCUGAAAUGAGUAAAUUGACAUUUGAAAUUAGAGAACAAGAAGAUAAACAAUUUUACAACAUAUGGGAUUUGUUUUAUCAAUGGUUGGGUAAAAAGAC
rnacentral:lncRNA from 1 species